rnacentral:misc_RNA from 1 species
GAUGAAGAACGCAGCGAAAUGCGAUAAGUAAUGUGAAUUGCAGAAUUCAGUGAAUCGUCGAAUCUUUGAACGCACAUUGCGCCCGCCAGUAUUCUGGCGGGCAUGCCUGUUCGAGCGUCAUUACAACCCUCAGGCCCCCGGGCCUGGCGUUGGGGAUCGGCGGAAGCCCCCUGCGGGCACAACGCCGUCCCCCAAAUACAGUGGCGGUCCCGCCGCAGCUUCCAUUGCGUAGUAGCUAACACCUCGCAACUGGAGAGCGGCGCGGCCACGCCGUAAAACACCCAACUUCUGAAUGUUGACCUCGAAUCAGGUAGGAAUACCCGCUGAACUUAAGCAUAUCAAUAACGGGGA